GGGGGGGGGUGUUACCUUCUUGUGUGCAGCGAAACAGGGACGGCGACAAUCUCGGAGACGACUAUUCCACCACCACACUAGAACUUCCGAGAGUUUAGAUGAAUCGAGCAAAAGGAUAAAUCUGAGCUCCACCAAUUCUGCCCUCUUUUAUAUGUAUUUCUUAUAUGUUUCGUUACUAGUAGCUUAAGCUUUACUCUCUGUCUUAGUAAAGAAUUUUUAACUAAAAUCACCCCUCUUCCCAAUUUUUCUCCUCUUUUUUUAUAUACUGAAAACAGUAAAGUAUAUAUAGAAGAGCUUAGGGUUCAUGAUUUUUUUGGGGGAAACCGAUAGAAUUCGGAUAGGAAUGAGACCCACCCCCAAAUUCAAACUUCAAAAUCUUUCACCCUUUAAGGCAAACAUACUUUUCUAAGAUUUUCAACCCCAUUCCAGAAGAGGAAAUGGGGACAGACGCGUGCUUCUGCUUGCUGCCGGGACAGAGACGUAAGGAAGAAAACAAAAAAAAACAGAGUACCGCUUGACUUGCUCGUUGCUUUUCCGUCUAUCACCGUAUCCUCCGUGAAGGCGUUAAAUCGAGCAGGCGUAGUUUUGUACUGCUUGGAUUGUCGUUUGAGUCAUUGUCGUUUCUGCCGUGAAUUCACGCCAUUGAAUCGUGAGCUACUGCCGUUGUUUUAGGAAUUGAUGUUAAUGUUGAGCAUUUGAGUCUCUUUACUGAUGGGAGGAAUUGGGCUGGGUUGGGGGAAUUAAACAUGGGCUGGGAAUUAAGGAAAUUAAGGGUGGGCUUGCUGGGAUUGGAAAAGGAGAGGCUGGGCUGUUGCUGGGAAUUGGAGAAGCCAAAUUGACAUGCUGAAAAUGCCCUUUGGGCUGAAUAAAAUGACAUGUGUUACUGGAAUGUUGGACAUGAAAUUGGAUAUGGCCCAAAAUUGAGUUGGUGAGGAAAUAAAUGGCUAAAAUUGCACAUAAAAGGGUUAGGCAAAUGAAUUA
rnacentral:lncRNA from 1 species